rnacentral:pre_miRNA from 10 species
GGCGUCCCAGGUGGGGUGCCGCGGGACCGCCCUGGUGUCUGUGGCAGUGGGAUCCUGUGGCUGUGUUUUCCUGGUGGCCCGGCCGUGCCUGAGGUUUC